GAGAUGCAUUUAUUAGAUAAAAAACCAAUACAUGCUUUUAAAGUAUGGAAUUUGGUGAUUUACAAUAACUUAGCAAAUCGCAUAGUGAAAACAGGCGAUAAAUCAUUCAAGUUUCUGACCUAUCAGCUUUCGACGGUAUGGUAUUGGCUUACCGUGGCAGUGACGGUUAACGGGGGAUUAGGGUUCGAUUCCGGAGAGGGAGCCUGAGAAACGGCUACCACAUCUAAGGAAGGCAGCAGGCGCGCAAAUUACCCAAUUCUAACAGCAUAAGAGAGGUAGUGACAAGAAAUAACAAUACAAGGCAGUUAAAAUGCUUUGUAAUUGGAAUGAUAGAAAUUUAAACACUUUUUAAAGUAUCAAUUGGAGGGCAAGUCUGGUGCCAGCAGCCGCGGUAAUUCCAGCUCCAAUAGCGUAUAUUAAAAUUGUUGCAGUUAAAAAGCUCGUAGUUGAAUUUCUGCUAAAAAUAACCGGUCUGCUUUUAAUAAAGGUGGUAUCUUGGUGUGUUUUUAGCAAUAAUGUCCUUUGAAAUGUUUAUUACUUCAUUGUAAUAAAUUAUUUUCAGGAUUUUUACUUUGAGAAAAUUAGAGUGUUUCUAGCAGGCUAACGCUUUGAAUACUGCAGCAUGGAAUAAUAAGA
rnacentral:rRNA from 1 species